rnacentral:rRNA from 1 species
AUUUAAAAUUAAUUUAAUUUUUUUAGUAUAUAAUUAAAUUUAAAUAAAUGUAUAGAAAUAUAAAAUUUUUAGUAUUAAUUAGAAAAAAUAGAUUUUAAUUAUUUUAUUGUAAAAGUAUUUUAAAAUUAAUAUAAGAAAAUUUAAUUUGUUGUACCUUUUGUAUCAGGGAUUAUUAAAAUAAAGAAUUUAAUUAAUAUAUCUCGAAUUAAAAAGAGCUAAUUUAAUAUUAUAGUUAAUGUGGAAAAAUUAUUAUAAAUAUUAAAUUUGAAGUGAAAUGUUAAUCGAUUUUUAAGAUAUCUAGUUUUUUAAUAUAAAAAUUUAAUUUUUUUAUAAAUUUAAUUAUAAAUUAUUUAAAAAUUUGUAAUUAUUUUAUAAUUAAUAAUUUAUGGGAUUAACUAUAAAUUUAAAUUAAAUAAUUUUUUAAUAAUUAAGAAUUUAGAUAUUAAAAUUUUUAAAAUUUAAGAGUAUGUAAUAAUUUACUAGUUUAUAAAAUUUAAUUUUUAAAUUUAUUAAUUUAUUAUUAAAAUAAAUUUAUGAAUUUUAUAAAAUUUAUAAUAAUGAUAAUAUAAGUAUAAAAAUGUGUUAAAUUAAUUAAAUUAAUAAAUUAAUUUAAGGAAUUAAGCAAAAUUUAAAAUUCACUUGUUUAUCAAAAACAUGUUUUUUUGAUAUUAAUAAAAAAUUUUCUCUGCCCAAUGAUAAAAUAAAUUAAAUGGCCGCAGUAUUUUGACUGUGCAAAGGUAGCAUAAUAAAUAGUUUUUUAAUUGAAGACUAGAAUGAAUGAGAGGAUGAAAUUUUAACUGUCUCAAUUUAAUUAUAAAAUUUUAUUUUAAGUUAAAAUUCUUAAAUUAAUUUAAGGGACGAGAAGACCCUAUAGAAUUUAAAAAUUUAAAUUAAUUUAAAAAUUAAAAUUAUGUUUAAUUUAAUUAAAAAUUUUUUUAUUGGGAUGAUAUUAAAAUUUAAAUAACUUUUAAUUAUUAAAUUCAAUAAUGUAUGAAUUAUAGAAUAAUAUUUUAAUAAUAAAUAAGAUAAAAUUACCUUAGGGAUAACAGCGUAAUAAAUUUUUAAAGUUCAAAUUAAAAAAUUUGAUUGCGACCUCGAUGUUGAAUUAAAAUAAAAUUUAAGUGAAGAAGCUUAAAAUUUAAGUCUGUUCGACUUUUAAAAUUUUACAUGAUUUG